AUACGUAGGUGACAAGCGUUAUCCGGAUUUACUGGGCGUAAAGGGCGUGUAGGCGGUCUUGCAAGUCAGAAGUGAAAUUCCUGAGCUCAACUCGGGCGCUGCUUCUGAAACUGCAGGACUUGAGUGCUGGAGGGGAUAGUGGAAUUCCUAGUGGAGCGGUAAAAUGCGCAGAUAUUAGGAAGAACACCGGUGGGGAAGGCGGCUAUCUGGACAGUAACUGACGCUGAGGCGCGAAAGCGUGGGGAGCAAACAGGAUUAGAUACCCUGGUAGUCCACACUGUAAACGAUGAAUGCUAGGUGUAGGGGGUAUCGACCCCUUCUGUGCCGCAGUCAACACAAUAAGCAUUCCGCCUGGGGAGUACGGCCGCAAGGUUGAAACUCAAAUGAAUUGACGGGG
rnacentral:rRNA from 1 species